AAGAAAAGAGGUUGUAUACUUUAAUAAUACCAGAGGAUUUAUAGAUUGUAGAGUUGUGAUUUAGUGAUUGUUGGUGGUAGUGGUAAACAGUAUGUUUUGUUUAUACAGAUUUCCCCAGGUUCGGAUAGUAGUUGCCAACAGCUUGCGUCUUGAUAUCUACUUUGUCAAGUCGCGCUAUAGGUCUUAUUUUAGAUUAAUGAUUAAAUAAAGAUACGCAUAGCUUGCUGCAAAUAUGUGAUAAAAUAAUGGGUAGUACAGCAUAAGCCAAAUUUUGAAAAUCAUUUAUCCGCCGUAACCAAAUAAAGAACAUGAACUUUAUAACAAAAUGAUAUUCAUU